GAUGAACGCUGGCGGCGUGCUUAACACAUGCAAGUCGAACGAAGCACUUUACCUGAUUUCCUUCGGGGAUGAUUGUUCUGUGACUGAGUGGCGGACGGGUGAGUAACGCGUGGAUAACCUGCCUCACACAGGGGGAUAACAGUUGGAAACGGCUGCUAAUACCGCAUAAGCGCACAGCACCGCAUGGUGCAGUGUGAAAAACUCCGGUGGUGUGAGAUGGAUCCGCGUCUGAUUAGCUAGUUGGCGGGGUAACGGCCCACCAAGGCGACGAUCAGUAGCCGGCCUGAGAGAGCGACCGGCCACAUUGGGACUGAGACACGGCCCAGACUCCUACGGGAGGCAGCAGUGGGGAAUAUUGCACAAUGGGGGAAACCCUGAUGCAGCGACGCCGCGUGAGCGAUGAAGUAUUUCGGUAUGUAAAGCUCUAUCAGCAGGGAAGAUAA
rnacentral:rRNA from 1 species